CGCGUAGGCGGUUUAUUAAGUUAGAUGUGAAAUCCCUGGGCUUAACCUAGGAACUGCAUCUAAAACUGGUAAGCUGGAGUGCAGUAGAGGGUAGUGGAAUUUCCGGUGUAGCGGUGAAAUGCGUAGAUAUCGGAAGGAACACCAGUGGCGAAGGCGGCUACCUGGACUGACACUGACGCUGAGGCGCGAGAGCGUGGGGAGCAAACA
rnacentral:rRNA from 1 species